rnacentral:rRNA from 1 species
AUUGAACGCUGGCGGCAGGCCUAACACAUGCAAGUCGAGCGAGCGGCGGACGGGUGAGUAAUGUAUGGGGAACUGCCUGAUGGAGGGGGAUAACUACUGGAAACGGUAGCUAAUACCGCAUACUAUCGGAUGUGCCCAUAUGGGAUUAGCUGGUAGGUGGGGUAACGGCUCACCUAGGCGACGAUCCCUAGCUGGUCUGAGAGGAUGACCAGCCACACUGGAACUGAGACACGGUCCAGACUCCUACGGGAGGCAGCAGUGGGGAAGAUUGCACAAUGGGCGCAAGCCUGAUGCAGCCAUGCCGCGUGUAUGAAGAAGGCCCUAGGGGUGUAAAGUACUUUCAGCGGGGAGGCGUUACCGGCAGAAGAAGCACCGGCUAACUCCGUGCCAGCAGCCGCGGUAAUAC